GAUGAACGCUGGCGGCGUGCUUAACACAUGCAAGUCGAACGGUGAAGGCGGAGCUUGCUCUGCUGGAUCAGUGGCGAACGGGUGAGUAACACGUGAGCAAUCUGCCCCUGACUCUGGGAUAAGCGCUGGAAACGGCGUCUAAUACUGGAUACGAGCUGCGAAGGCAUCUUCAGCAGCUGGAAAGAACUUCGGUCAGGGAUGAGCUCGCGGCCUAUCAGCUUGUUGGUGAGGUAACGGCUCGCCAAGGCGUCGACGGGUAGCCGGCCUGAGAGGGUGACCGGCCACACGGGGACUGAGACCCGGCCCAGACCCCUAGGGGGGGAAGAGGGGGGGAAUAUUGCAAAAGGGGGGAAAGCCGGAUGCACAAACGCCGGGGGGGGGACGAGGGCCUUGGGGUGGAAAACCUUUUUGGGGGGGAAAGAAGGGAAAGGGAGGGUACCGGCAAAAAAAGGCCGGGCUAACUAGGU
rnacentral:rRNA from 1 species